CAACCCUCGAGCCCCCGUGGCCCGGUGUUGGGGAACCGCGAGCGCCCAGCUCCGCGGUCCCCGAAAUGCAGUGGCGGUCCCGCAGCGUCCGGCCCUUUGCGUAGUAGUUUUCUUCUCGCAUCGGCAGGCCCGCGGGCUACCAGCCUCAAAACCCCCUACAAAGACCGCUCCGGCGGCAC
rnacentral:misc_RNA from 1 species